AGACCCGAAACCCGGUGAUCUAGCCAUGGGCAGGUUGAAGGUUGGGUAACACUAACUGGAGGACCGAACCGACUAAUGUUGAAAAAUUAGCGGAUGACCUGUGGCUGGGGGUGAAAGGCCAAUCAAACCGGGAGAUAGCUGGUUCUCCCCGAAAGCUAUUUAGGUAGCGCCUCGUGAAUUCAUCUCCGGGGGUAGAGCACUGUUUCGGCUAGGGGGCCAUCCCGGCUUACCAACCCGAUGCAAACUGCGAAUACCGGAGAAUGUUAUCACGGGAGACACACGGCGGGUGCUAACGUCCGUCGUGAAGAGGGAAACAACCCAGACCGCCAGCUAAGGUCCCAAAGUCAUGGUUAAGUGGGAAACGAUGUGGGAAGGCCCAGACAGCCAGGAUGUUGGCUUAGAAGCAGCCAUCAUUUAAAGAAAGCGUAAUAGCUCACUGGUCGAGUCGGCCUGCGCGGAAGAUGUAACGGGGCUAAACCAUGCACCGAAGCUGCGGCAGCGACGCUGAUGCGUUGUUGGGUAGGGGAGCGUUCUGUAAGCCUGCGAAGGUGGCCUGUGA
rnacentral:rRNA from 2 species